GCUACACAUGCAGUCGAACGGCAGCACAGGAGAGCUUGCUCUCUGGGUGGCGAGUGGCGGACGGGUGAGGAAUACAUCGGAAUCUACUCUGUCGUGGGGGAUAACGUAGGGAAACUUACGCUAAUACCGCAUACGACCUACGGGUGAAAGCAGGGGAUCUUCGGACCUUGCUCGAUUGAAUGAGCCGAUGUCGGAUUAGCUAGUUGGCGGGGUAAAGGCCCACCAAGGCGACGAUCCGUAGCUGGUCUGAGAGGAUGAUCAGCCACACUGGAACUGAGACACGGUCCAGACUCCUACGGGAGGCAGCAGUGGGGAAUAUUGGACAAUGGGCGCAAGCCUGAUCCAGCCCUACCGCGUGGGUGAAGAAGGCCUUCGGGUUGUAAAGCCCUUUUGUUGGGAAAGAAAUCCAGCCGGCUAAUACCUGGUUGGGAUGACGGUACCCAAAGAAUAAGCACCGGCUAACUUCGUGCCAGCAGCCGCGGUAAUACGAAGGGUGCAAGCGUUACUCGGAAUUACUGGGCGUAAAGC
rnacentral:rRNA from 1 species